UGGGGAAUAUUGCACAAUGGGGGAAACCCGUGAUGCAGCGACGCCGCGUGAAGGAAGAAGUAUCUCGGUAUGUAAACUUCUAUCAGCAGGGAAGAUAAUGACGGUACCUGACUAAGAAGCCCCGGCUAACUACGUGCC
rnacentral:rRNA from 1 species